rnacentral:misc_RNA from 1 species
GAUGAAGAACGCAGCGAAAUGCGAUACGUAGUGUGAAUUGCAGAAUUCAGUGAAUCAUCGAAUCUUUGAACGCACAUUGCACCUCUCGGUAUUCCGGGAGGUAUGCCUGUUCGAGCGUCAUUUGUACCCUCGAGCUCUGCUUGGUGUUGGGUGUUUGUUCCGCCUCUGUGUGUGAACUCGCCUCAAAACAAUUGGCAGCCGGCGUACUUGUUUCGGAGCGCAGCACAUUUUGCGAUCCAGAUCAACGUACAGCGGCAUCCAAGAAGCCUUAUUUAACGCUCUUGACCUCGGAUCAGGUAGGGAUACCCGCUGAACUUAAGCAUAUCAAUAAGCGGAGGA